AUGACACAAAUUGAAACAAGCUCCGAUCAGUGCUGCAACAAGCAAAUGUGGAGCUAUAUGUAUAGGACUGUUGUCCUAGAGCAGAAAGAAACCCAAAGGUCAAUGAAAAUUCAGAUGAGACAACUAACUUCAGCUAGUCUAGAAACUGUCUUUUGCCUAUUGAAUACAGAUGCAAAACAUAUAAUGUUGUUAUUGGCAAAUAAAAAGGAAUACAUGCUGACAACAGAAAGAAAUAGCAACGUACUUGCCGAAGAGAGUUUGUACCAAACCCCAAGGCCAAUGAAUUCAGAUGGGACAACUUCAAUGCCAAGAAAAUCGAAUACCAACACAAAACAGUAG
rnacentral:rRNA from 1 species